ensembl:snoRNA U3 Small nucleolar RNA U3
AAGACUAUACUUUCAGGGAUUGUUUCUCUAGUUCAUUACUAGAGAAGUUUCUCCCAAGGGUGGAGUACCGGAAACCAUGAGGAGGAGGUUCGGUGUCACUUCCUGAGUGUGAAGCUGACUCUGGGUGUUGUUUCUGAAGCUGCCCUUGGCCUUGAUGAUUGCUCUCUCCUUCUCUGGGGGACUAAGAGGAAAGGGGUACACUGAGUGCU